GAAAAAUGUUAAAGUCGUAAUAUAAUAAAAUAUAUUUAUGAAAGAAAAUAUAUAAAGGUUCAAGUCACAACAUAUGAAUUAGUCUGAUAUGGAAAAAAAGUUAAUUCCAAUGAAAUUGCAAGAACUGGGCAAAACAAAGCCUCAUUGCAUGCAAAUAUCUUAAUUCAUAUAAAAACAAAUGCAAUUUUUAAACUUAUAAAAAAAGAAGUAUCCAACACAAAGAUAAAGUAAAGAAAACACAUGUAUAUUGCAAAUUGGUGCAUUUGUAAACAGACUCAGCUGAUGUUCAGUCGUUUGUUGAUGUGGUUCAUAAAUGUUUCUUGUUUCUCGUGUAAUAUAUAUAAUAGAUUAGACCGUUGGUUUUCCCAUUGGUUUUGUAUUGCAUUUUAUUUGAAAAAUGUUUAAAGUCGUAAUAUAUUAAAAUAUAUCUAUGAAAGAAAAUAUAUAAAGGUUGAAGUCACAACAUAAGAAUUGGUUUUAUGUAAAAAAAAUUGCAAGAACUGUAUAAUACAAAUGCGCAUCCCAUGCAAAUGAUAUCUACAUUUAUAUUUUUAAAAAAAUACUAUGUUUUAACCGAAAAAAAGGAGAAUACAACUAAAAAGAUUGAGUGAAAAGACAUGUAUAUAUAAUUACUUUAUUGUUACAUUUCUAAACAGACUCACAAUAGAACACGGGAUGUGAAAUAACUUUACUCUUUACUGAAAAAGGAGACCAUUUUUCUUUGAUAAAAUCUGAUACAUAAAAGAAAGACAAAUGUCUGAUUUCAUGUAGUCCCAAAUGAUUCAGGUAAACAAAUAUUUUCUCCAGUUGUAUAAGAAAAAGGUAUGGGGCUUUCAAACCAGAAAAGACACAUGAAGACACAGGGAUUUUGAUGAUAUAUAACUGAAAGCAAGAGUAUAAGUGAAUGAAUAAAAUUCAUUUUUAUGCUAACAUUCUUGCAGAUAUAAGUGUAUGCCUCAUAACAAUUGCAUACACAAAGAAACAUAUACAUGGCAGCAGUAUCUAUGUCAAUAUAUGUUGCUGACAAAAUCACAUUAGAAAUACAGUAUUUGUUCUUAACGGAAUAAAUUGCAUACAGAAUAUGUGUUCCUGUUAAAAAAAAAUAUUCUGUAUACCAUUUAUUCCAACAGGAACACAUAUCAUGGUACUAUUUAUAAACAAAAUAUUUCCAAGAGGAAUUUCUAUAAGGCGGUCACGUGAUAAAUAUUGGUCGACAGGUCCUCCUGGCUAAAAUGUAUAUUUCUUUUAGAAACACUGUAUCGUAUAUAAAUGCUUAUGAAUAUAUGGAUAUGUUUAUUCAUAUUUACACAUUCUAUGUACCUUUAUUUUCUUCUCCAUAGUAUUCUUAUUUAAGAUUUCCAGAAAACCAGGGGUUAUUUUUAGUAGCUAGAACUAGUCUUACGAAAGGCAGUUCUUUCUUUGAAGUCUUUAAAAAUGGGUUAAACACUGGCAUGAAGAAAGGUGAUACAUGUACAAUUGAGGAUAUGGUUUCUAUGAAGUUGAACCUAAGGUAUAAUAUAUAGAAAGCUGUGAAAAUUACAAAACUUGAUUGAACAGAUAGGGAUUUUGAAUUGGUGGUCUGAUACCUAUAUACAAGUAACAUUCAAGACAGCUUACUAGAAUCCAAGUUUCAGAAUGAAAGCUUGUAAGCACUGCGACUUACUUGUAGAAAAAAAAAUGUUUAGAAAAAUAACACACGAAACCAAAUUGAGUCCAAAC
rnacentral:lncRNA from 1 species